GACGAACCGUGCGAACGUUGUUCGGAUUCACUGGGCUUAAAGGGCGCGUAGGCGGCUUGCCAAGUCAGGGGUGAAAUCUUUCGGCUUAACCGGAAAAGUGCUUCUGAUACUGGCGGGCUGGAGGGAGGUAGGGGCAGAUGGAACUUCCGGUGGAGCGGUGAAAUGCGCAGAUAUCGUGAGGAAGACCAGUUGCGAAGGCGGAUCUCUGGGCAGUUCCUGACACUGAGGCACGAAGGCCAGGGGAGCAAACGGGG
rnacentral:rRNA from 1 species